GUCCCCAUCGUCUAGUGGUCUAGGACGCCGGCCUCUCACGCCGACAACACGGGUUCGAACCCCGUUGGGGACGCCA
rnacentral:tRNA from 1 species